AGAGUUUGAUCCUGGCUCAGGAUGAACGCUGGCGGCGUGCUUAACACAUGCAAGUCGAACGAUGAAGCCCUUCGGGGUGGAUUAGUGGCGAACGGGUGAGUAACACGUGGGCAAUCUGCCCUUCACUCUGGGACAAGCCCUGGAAACGGGGUCUAAUACCGGAUAAUACUUCCUGCCGCAUGGCGGGGGGUUAAAAGCUCCGGCGGUGAAGGAUGAGCCCGCGGCCUAUCAGCUUGUUGGUGGGGUGAUGGCCUACCAAGGCGACGACGGGUAGCCGGCCUGAGAGGGCGACCGGCCACACUGGGACUGAGACACGGCCCAGACUCCUACGGGAGGCAGCAGUGGGGAAUAUUGCACAAUGGGCGAAAGCCUGAUGCAGCGACGCCGCGUGAGGGAUGACGGCCUUCGGGUUGUAAACCUCUUUCAGCAGGGAAGAAGCGAAAGUGACGGUACCUGCAGAAGAAGCGCCGGCUAACUACGUGCCAGCAGCCGCGGUAAUACGUAGGGCGCAAGCGUUGUCCGGAAUUAUUGGGCGUAAAGAGCUCGUAGGCGGCUUGUCACGUCGGAUGUGAAAGCCCGGGGCUUAACCCCGGGUCUGCAUUCGAUACGGGCUAGCUAGAGUGUGGUAGGGGAGAUCGGAAUUCCUGGUGUAGCGGUGAAAUGCGCAGAUAUCAGGAGGAACACCGGUGGCGAAGGCGGAUCUCUGGGCCAUUACUGACGCUGAGGAGCGAAAGCGUGGGGAGCGAACAGGAUUAGAUACCCUGGUAGUCCACGCCGUAAACGUUGGGAACUAGGUGUUGGCGACAUUCCACGUCGUCGGUGCCGCAGCUAACGCAUUAAGUUCCCCGCCUGGGGAGUACGGCCGCAAGGCUAAAACUCAAAGGAAUUGACGG
rnacentral:rRNA from 2 species